rnacentral:rRNA from 1 species
CAGAGGGUGCAAGCGUUAAUCGGAAUUACUGGGCGUAAAGCGCGCGUAGGUGGUUUGUUAAGUUGGAUGUGAAAUCCCCGGGCUCAACCUGGGAACUGCAUUCAAAAACUGACAAGCUAGAGUAUGGUAGAGGGUGGUGGAAUUUCCUGUGUAGCGGUGAAAUGCGUAGAUAUAGGAAGGAACACCAGUGGCGAAGGCGACCACCUGGACUGAUACUGACACUGAGGUGCGAAAGCGUGGGGGAGCAAACAGGAUU